UUCAGGUUCAAGGAUGGAAGUUUCUCGACGCCAGGUGGUUGCAGGAUGGUUUUCUGUCCGUCCGUUUUAUCGUCGGUUCGGGUAUUUCCGGUUUCCGGCAACCUAUGAGUUGAAAUGUACCGCGGGAUUAUUCCUAACUAGGCCUGAGCUCAAUCCUAUCAUUCUCGCGCACGCUUGGAACAAUUUCAUCCAGCGGACUGGCUUCGAGCAACUAACGCAAGGGCUGGUUCCGUUCGUCCUGUCGUUCGGGUAAGGAGUACACUAUGUCGAAAACCUUAAUACCUGUGCACCACAGGACUGAUGGUGCGAAUUUGCCAGAGUAGUCCCACGAUGGAUGGAGCUGGCGAUGGCGUGGCUCAGCGUUGGCUGUUUUAGUUUUAUUAUUCUGUUUUACUUAAUUUGAUGUAUUACUUUAUUUAUUUUUAAGUUUUAUUUUAAGUUUAGUUUUAAAUUUGUAAUUUAUUAAAUGAAUAA